rnacentral:rRNA from 1 species
AGAGUUGAUCAUGGCUCAGGAUGAACGCUAGCUACAGGCCUAACACAUGCAAGUCGAGGGGCAGCAGAUCGAAAGCUUGCUUUGAUGCUGGCGACCGGCGAAUGGGUGAGUCACGCGUGUCCAACCUGCCUCCGGCCCGGGGGAUAGCCCUUGGAAAUGAGGAUUAAGACCCGAUAGGUGGCGCUUCCGCAUGGCGGCGCCAUGAAACUGGACCGGAGAUGGGGACGCGUCGGAUUAGCUUGACGGCGGGGCGACGGCCCACCGUGGCGACGAUCCGCAGGGGUUCUGAGAGGAAGGUCCCCCCACACUGGCACUGAGACACGGGCCAGACUCCUACGGGAGGCAGCAGUGAGGAAUAUUGGUCAAUGGCCGAGAGGCUGAACCAGCCAAGUUAAGCGUGCAGGACGACGGCCCUACGGGUUGUAAACUGCUUUUGCGGGAGGAUAAAGGGCGCCACGUGUGGCGUUUUGCAGGUAUCCCGUGAAUAAGGACCGGCUAAUUCCGUGCCAGCCGCUGC